rnacentral:rRNA from 1 species
AGGGUUUGAUUAUGGCUCAGGAUGAACGCUAGCUAUAGGCUUAACACAUGCAAGUCGAGGGGAAACGGCAGAGAGUGCUUGCACACUUUGGACGUCGACCGGCGCACGGGUGAGUAACGCGUAUCCAACCUGCCCUUUACUUGGGGAUAACCCGUUGAAAGACGGACUAAUACCCAAUGAUAUUCAUUGAUGACAUCUGAUUUGAAUUAAAGAUUUAUCGGUAUAGGAUGGGGAUGCGUCUGAUUAGCUUGUUGGUGAGGUAACGGCUCACCAAGGCAACGAUCAGUAGGGGUUCUGAGAGGAAGGUCCCCCACAUUGGAACUGAGACACGGUCCAA